rnacentral:rRNA from 1 species
GGUGAACGCUGGCGGUAGGCCUAACACAUGCAAGUCGAACGGCAGCACAGUAAGAGCUUGCUCUUACGGGUGGCGAGUGGCGGACGGGUGAGGAAUACAUCGGAAUCUACUUUUUCGUGGGGGAUAACGUAGGGAAACUUACGCUAAUACCGCAUACGACCUACGGGUGAAAGCAGGGGAUCUUCGGACCUUGCGCGAUUGAAUGAGCCGAUGUCGGAUUAGCUAGUUGGCGGGGAAAAGGCCCACCAAGGCGACGAUCCGUAGCUGGUCUGAGAGGAUGAUCAGCCACACUGGAACUGAGACACGGUCCAGACUCCUACGGGAGGCAGCAGUGGGGAAUAUUGGACAAUGGGCGCAAGCCUGAUCCAGCCAUACCGCGUGGGUGAAGAAGGCCUUCGGGUUGUAAAGCCCUUUUGUUGGGAAAGAAAAGCAGCAGGUUAAUACCCCGCUGUUCUGACGGUACCCAAAGAAUAAGCACCGGCUAACUUCGUG